AGGAAGUGAAUAAGGGCGCAUGGGGGAUGCCUUGGCUCCUGGGGACGACGAAGGACGCGGUAAGCUGCGAAAAUGCGCGGGUAGGUGCAAACGACCGAUUGAUCCGCGCGUGUCCGAAUGGGGGAACCCCACAGGUUGAAGACCUGUGAACAUACGUAGUCAACCCUCCGAACUGAAACAUCUAAGUAGGAGGAGGAAAAGAAAACAAAAGUGAUUCCGCAAGUAGUGGCGAGCGAACGCGGAGGAGGCCAAACCAGCGGGCGUGCCCGCUGGGGUUGUAGGGCUGCGACGUGGACGGUUUAUGCAUAAAAGAACGCUUUGGAAAGAGCGGCCACAGAGGGUGAUAGCCCCGUAUUUGGAAUGCAUAUUCUACCUAGCAGUACCCUGAGUAGGGCGGGGCCGGAGAAACCCUGUCUGAACCUGGCAGCACCAUCUGCCAAGCCUAAAUACCACCAGGAGACCGAUAGCGAACAAGUACCGUAAGGGAAAGGUGAAAAGAACCUCGAGAAGAGGAGUGAAAAGACCCUGAAACCAUGCGCCUACAAGCGGUUGGAGUUCCGAGUUUACUUGGAAUGACAGCGUGCCUUUUGCAUAAUGAGCCUACGAGUUACUCCUCACUGGCACGCCUAAGUUCUUCAGGAACGGAAGCACAGCGAAAGCGAGCCUUAACAGGGCGACUCCGUCAGUGGGGGUAGACGCGAAACCGGGUGAUCUACCCAUGGGCAGGCUGAAGUCCCGAUAGUCUCGGGAUGGAGGGCCGAACCCGUAAACGUUGAAAAGU
rnacentral:rRNA from 1 species